rnacentral:rRNA from 1 species
CAAUAGCGUAUAUUAAAGUUGUUGCAGUUAAAAAGCUCGUAGUUGGAUUUGUGGCGUACGGUGUGUUCCGGGCACUUGUUGUCUGAGUAACCUGCUGUUGUCAUCCUUGGGUGGAACCUGUGUGGCAUUAGGUUGUCGUGCAGGGGAUGCCCAUCAUUUACUGUGAAAAAAUUAGAGUGUUCAAAGCAGGCUUAUGCCGUUGAAUAUAUUAGCAUGGAAUAAUGAGAUAGGACUUUUUUGCUAUUUUGUUGGUUUGCGCAAAGAGGUAAUGAUUAAUAGGGACAGUUGGGGGUAUUCGUAUUCCAUUGUCAGAGGUGAAAUUCUUGGAUUUUUGGAAGACGAACUACUGCGAAAGCAUUUGCCAAGGAUGUUUUCAUUAA